UAAUACGGAGGGUGCAAGCGUUAUCCGGAUUUAUUAGGUUUAAAGGGUUCGCAGGCGGAAUUUUAAGUCAGUGGUGAAAGCCUAUAGCUCAACUAUAGAACUGCCAUUGAAACUGAGAUUCUUGAGUAUAGAUGAAGUGGGCGGAAUAUGUCAUGUAGCGGUGAAAUGCAUAGAUAUGACAUGGAACACCAAUUGCGAAGGCAGCUCACUAAACUAUUACUGACGCUCAUGAACGAAAGCGUGGGGAGCAAACAGGAUUAGAUACCCUGGUAGUCCACGCCGUAAACUAUGAUCACUAGAUGUUGGCGAUAUACUGUCAGUGUUUUAGAGAAAUCGUUAAGUGAUCCACCUGGGGAGUACGUUCGCAAGAAUG
rnacentral:rRNA from 1 species